AGAGGCGAGUACAGAUAUUUUAAAAUAUCACAUCUAAGAUGCUUACUGAGAAAGUUGCAAAAUCAGUCACAUGUGAAAAGAACACAGACUGGGAGAGCCAGAGAUUCCUGGAUUUAUUACUGAGUAAAAGAAAUAAACUUUUUCAGACUCAGCCUGUGUAAAAUGCUCACCUGAUUCUUAACAACACAAGAUUGAAACUGAACAAACUGGUUGCUCUGAACUCCUUUUCU